rnacentral:lncRNA from 1 species
GUACAACUCAUGCAUCGAAAAGAACCAUUAAGUUGGUUAAUCACAAGUUCGGAGUCACCGAGGAUGAGGGCACGGGUCGCUCGUAAGUCGAGAAGGAUUCCAAGGCCGAUGAUAAGGGCUUCAUAUUCGGCCUGAUUAUUUGUGCAAUCAAAAUCCAGCUUAAGCGAAAAAUACCAACGAACGUGGUUUGGGGAUUGAAUGACAACUCCCACGCCAGCCGAGGAUGAAGUACUUAAUCCGUCAAAGUACAUCGUCCAGUAGUUAUCGCGCGUUUCAACCAUGCCGAUUUCGACAUCGUUACCUCCAAAACCAUAUGGGGAUGGGUGUUGAGCAAGGAAAUCAGCCAAUGGCUGGCCUUUGAUAGCUUUCUAGGGCACGUAUUGCAAGCUGAAUUCGGACAGUGCCAUUGUCCAUUUCCCAAUUCGACCUUUUACUAUUGGCC